GGGACUUCGCGAACAGAAAUGUUCACGUCGUGAGGAAGGUCCGCCCACCGAUAUUAAAGCCAUCAAGGAAAUCUUGAUUGUUGUGAGGCAAAGCUCUGCUACAGAAACGCCACAGCUCAUUCCGAGUUAUGAAAUAACCUCUAACGAGGUACUUCGCGAAUUAAAAUUCGCGUCGUAUGUAUUGAACUAUGAAGAAUGAGAUUUGAUGAAACGAACAUCUUGGCUGGUGCAAGUCUUUAAGACGCUUAGUUGAAUGUUAACAAUUUCCGUCCGCUUGCGGGGAAAUACAGAAGGUGGCCUAUGCCUGACUU
rnacentral:RNase_P_RNA from 1 species